rnacentral:lncRNA from 1 species
GCACGACACCAGAUAAAUGCAUAGAGUUUACAAUCUUAAGUAAAGGUACUUAGGUACACCAAUCAAUAGUUCAUGAAUAUAAAGAAUAAAACUGCAAGUGAACAGAAAUAUCAUUGUAGCAUUUCAACCUAUGAGUAUUCAAGGGUUCUCGUAUUUAAUCUUGUAGGAGGGUGUAACAAAUUCAUCUAGCUUUGUUUGUAGCAUGAUCACUUAUUGAGAUGCAUAGGUAGACAUAGUCUAAUCAGGGGUCACGGCAGGCUCUUAAAAUAUGGAUAGUGGACACACUCAUCGGGGCAACCUCAUGGAAUAAAGAGAAAAUAAGGAAAUAAAAAAAAUAAAGAACAACUACUUGAGCCGGCAUUGAUCUUAUAUAACUAUGCAAAGAAUUGUUAGUACAACAUCUAAUCAAUAUAACUAGAGUUAGAACUAAGUAUGAGGCUCUGGGGAGAUCCCCGCAGCUAAACAUCUAGCCGAUAGGGACUUUACAGAACUCCUACCGGAAUACCUGAUCGUGGGGAAAUUCCAGGGAUGACAGGGCUGUCACUACCCUGCCACCUGCCCCUCUACCCGAAAGAUACCCGCGC